rnacentral:rRNA from 1 species
AUACGGAGGGUGCAAGCGUUACUCGGAGUCACUGGGCGUAAAGCGUCCGUAGGCGGUCGUGUAAGUCGGGUGUGAAAGCCCCGGGCUCAACCUGGGAAGUGCACCCGAUACUGCUCGACUCGAGUGCGGGAGAGGAUUGCGGAAUUCCCGGUGUAGCGGUGAAAUGCGUAGAGAUCGGGAGGAACACCAGUGGCGAAGGCGGCCAUCUGGCCCGCAACUGACGCUGAGGGACGAAAGCGUGGGGAGCAAACAGGAUUAGAAACCCUAGUAGUCC